GUCUUAUUGAAAAUAAUUUUAAGUCAAUCUGCCCAAUGAGAAAUAUUUAAUGGCUGCAGUAUAAGUGACUGUACAAAGGUAGCAUAAUCAAUUGGUUUUUAAAUGAAAUCUGGAAUGAAAGGAUUAAUGAAAUAUAUACUGUCUCAUAUUUAUUUUAUGAAUUUAAAAUUUUAAUAAAAAUGUUAAAAUUUUUUUAUGGGACGAUAAGACCCUAUAGAAUUUUAUAUUUAUUUUUUUUAAUAAUUAAUAUUAAAUUAAAAUAAAUAUUUAAUUGGGAGAAUUAUUAAAUUUAAUAAAUUUUAAUUAAAAAAAACUUUAAUUUAAGAAUAAAAUUUUGAUCUUUAAUUUAAAAUUAUUAGAAUAAAUUACCUUAGGGAUAACAGCGUAAUAUUUUUUUAUAGAUCUUAUAGAAAAAAAUGAUUGCGACCUCGAUGUUGAAUUAAGAUAAAUUUUAAACGUAGAGGUUUAAUGAUUAAGUCUGUUCGACUUUUGAAAUCUUACAUGAUUUGAGUUCAAAUCGACGUAAGU
rnacentral:rRNA from 1 species